UGGCUGUGGUUAUGGAACUAGCUAUGGCUGUGGAUAUGACUCUGGCUCUGGCUACUAUGGCUACUGGCCAUUUUGCUUUAGGAGAUGCUAUUCUUCCUGCUAAAACAUCACUGUCAGAGGACCAUUUGCUUCUGAAAUGACACGUCUAAAGAUAAUGCUGAUUCAAGGAUUUGUACUCCAAGAUUUCUAUAUCCAAGAAUUACAUGCUUGACAGAGUUUUGGACCUCUAGCCUCACAUUUCUUUGAAUGAAAUCAUGGCCAUAGGAUCCAUGGUGUCAUCUGACUGUUUUCCAAAUGUUAUCUUUUGCUGUCUUAAUCUCUGAUUCUCUGUUAUGACUGUGUUAAUGAUCAUAACAUCUACAGUUGGGGAAGUCAAUCAUUUGUAAUAAAAAUGGUUCUUUAUUCCAAAAAAAAACCCCACAAUGUUUUAGUACAAAAGAGUCAAAAAGCUAAAAUAAAAUAUAGUUUAUAAAGUAAAAAAUUAUCAGUAAGCUAAGUUUAAUGUAUUAUUGAAGAAAUAAAAUGUAUUUUAUAAAUUUACCCUAAUGCCUAAUGUUUAAGAUAUCUACUGUAGUGUACAGUAAUAUCUCAGGCCUUCACAUUCACUCACUAAUCACUAACUGAUCCACCCAGAACAAUUUUCAGCCCUAUAAGCUCCAUUCGUGCUAAGUGGUCUAUAUAGGUACUGUUUUAUUAUUAUUAUUAUUAUUAUUAUUAUUAUUAUUAUUUUAUACUGUGUUUUUAAUGUAUCUUUUCUAGAUUUCAAUAAGUUGAGAUACACAAAUAUUUAUUAUUGUUACAAUUGCCUAUAUUAUCCAAUAUGGUAACAUGCUGUGCAGGUUUGUAGUCUAGAAGCAAUAGGCUAUACCUUAUAACCUAGGUGUGUUCUAAGCUAUACCAUACAGGUUUAUGUAAGUACACUGUGAAAUCUGCAUGGCAAACAUCAUUGCCUUAUGAUACAUUUCUCAAAUUUUCAGAACAUAUCCCUGUUGUUUAGCAGCACAUGAAUGUAUUUGAUUUAUUGUCUUGAUGUCCCUUUGCUUUCCCCAUGCAUUACUAUCAACUGCCUAAUGAAACAGCCUGGAAUUGUGUAAUGACUAA
rnacentral:lncRNA from 1 species